rnacentral:misc_RNA from 1 species
UUCCUCAGCAUCUGCACAAACAGAUGGAUUGACGUUUUGAGCAUCCACUUCCAGGAUUGCUACAUGAUAAUUAGAAGGUGACACCAAUAUUCUCCCUUUUCAAGAUAUACAUACUCCUGAUCCAUGAUAAGUUAAAGAAAAAACUGCUGGGCGAUCCAGAACUCAUCAAGGUGAAGAAAGGUGACCUAAUUCAGCUCAAGAGACAUGGUUUUUCUUUUGGGUAAAGGUUCGAGAUUUGAAAGCAAACAAGGCAGAAAAGACUCAAAUUGACACUGCUGUCAAGGAGUUAUUUGCAUUGAAAAGCAAGUUUAAGUUGGGAACCGUCAUGGAGUGGAAGGCAGAUAGUGCAAUCCCAAGUCAAGUGGAGAAACAAGACAAAGAUUCAACAAGGAAGGAUGUGGAGAUGAAGUGAUUUAUUUUAAAGUAAAGAAAGGAACAUGGAA